ensembl:lncRNA
CAGUGAUUGAGAGGAGAGAGGAGGCUUUCAACGAACGAUAUAUCAUGAAGAGUUAUGUGAAAAACACCUUGAGGAUUGAUUCUAAACAACGUUUACCAUGUUUCAGUCGAUAUUAUGGAGUUAAUUUGGAAAAAAGUUUGGCGUUUUGAAGACUGAAUUUUCGUUUUUUUUUGGUAGCCAAACGUGACGCAGCAAACGGAGCAAUUUCUCCUAAACAAAUAAUCUUUCAGGAAAAACUGAGCAUUUGCUAUCUAACUGAGAGUCUCCUCAUUGAAAACAUCUGAAGUUCUUCAAAGGAAAAACUGAGCAUUUGCUAUCUAACUGAGAGUCUCCUCAUUGAAAACAUCUGAAGUUCUUCAAAGACUCUGGCUGGACUGAGACGACCUUCUGUCUCGCAAUGGAGCCUUCAACUGCAAGGUGGUGUUGCGUUUCCCUUAUGGACGUCCCCAUUGAAAUGCAUGACAUCCCGUAUAACGUAACAGAGUGCUUUUGGGUAAUGUGAACGAGCCUUAAGCCUAAAUUCCAUCGCUUUUGGGUGAACAUAACUUAACUUAAAGCCCUUUCGCAACUGGUAACCAUGGAUUUUCAAGUAAGGCUAAAAUAUAUUUGAACCACACAAGAUGGCUUGUUUGAAUAUGUAUCAAGUUGACUUUUGACUCUGCAUACACUGUGCUAUUGAUUCAAUGAAUCCGAACUUGCAUCACUACAGCUUAAGUAGUGUUGUUUUGUCGUACUCCAGAAAUAGCUGUUUAUCCAUUUUUAACCAAUAAUUCCAGGGUGGUACAGUUUGGUUGUAACUGUGAUGCACACAAAAUGUAUGGUCACAUUUGUGUUUAUGUAUUGUUCUUUGUAUUGGG